CCACUUGAAGAUGAAGAACUGGUGGAGUACAUCAUCACCGGUUUAGGAGAAGAAUUUCAACCACUGGUAGCCGCUUUGUGUACAAAGGCGGAACCCAUCUCGGUUGGGGAGUUGUACUCACAGCUCCUCAGCUUUGAAA